rnacentral:sRNA from 1 species
UUGUCUCCAUUUUGCCAAUAAAUCCAUAUUUAUAGCCACAUUUAUUAAUUUCUUAUUUCGUUUCCUGUUCAAUUUUCAUAAUUUUCCUUGCCCCUUUAACAAAUUAAAAAUUUGAAAUAUUCCAAGCGUCGACGAUCCGUCCACUGCCCCGCCCCUUUUGAUCCACUCCGCCCCUUCACACAACCCCUUCAUCACUUUGCGUCUCGACCAAAUAAAUUUGCGACUCAAUUGUGUGCGGUGCUAUUGCCACAGUUGCAUGUGCUUGGGCUGUCUGCCCCAACCAUCAGCAUGUGGGCCGCCUUCGUUUUAUGUGCAUUUAAUUUACAGCCACCCCCUCGCCAAUCCGCCCCUUGAUUUUACACGCCCCCCUUCGCAGCCAAACCCCUGGGUUGUGUAUAUUUUUCUUAAAAAUAAGUUUUUAAUUGCAAUCCGUCGAGCGAAAGCAGCCGCAGAUUAUUCGCCAAAUAAUUUGGCUAGCCGAGUGCAACAACACAAGCGGCUGCGAAGAGGGUGCAUUUCCCUACACUGCACGAAAAAAGAUGGUACAUUGUGAAACAAUGAUGCCAGAUACUUAGAAAGCAACUAAACUUUUCAUACAAUAUUUGCUAGGUGACUUUGUCAUUCCUACUGCAAUUUACAAUAUUUUUUAACUUCGAAUUUAACAUGUUUAAAGCAAUUAUUUUUCUCUCUGCACUCCCUCUCAUUUGCUAAUUUUCUAUUUCUCUCACUCUGCUCGGCUGUCGUCUGCUUGUUGGCUAAAUAAAUUAUUGAAAUGAGCAAAAGCGAUGAAAUUGAACAGGUUGGGAAUAGAAUGCGGCGAUUGAACACAAGUUGAAGAUGCACCAGGAGAUAGCGGGAAAAGUGCCAGCCAGACGGACGGCAGCGGCACGGGAUCUCAUAAUUUGUGCUUUUGCGAUUUUCAAUUAAGCAGAAACCGACUGCAGGGGCAACUCGGGAUGUGGCGAUCUUCAAAAGCGAAGGAGCAGAAGGAGGAGCACAUGGAGGGGUGACACAUGCCCCACAAAUAUGCCACAUGCCACAUGGCAGCCGCCAAUGCACUUUAUUGAAAUUUAUUAAUAGCUCGAAACCGCGCACAGCACCACCACCCACACAUUCUUAAGGAUGGUGCGGGGUAGUCCACCGAUAACUGGAUGAAGAUUCCUCCACUUCUUCUUGCCAAGAUUCCAGAUCCCAGAUCUCGCUGGCACAGAGGAAAAACGAGAAAUGCAGACAUAAUUUACAAUUAUUUCAAGGACACUUUACAUAAGGAACGAGUUUCAGUCGGGCACAGAUUUUCUACC